rnacentral:rRNA from 1 species
UCGAAAGGAAUGCUAAUACCGCAUACGUCCUACGGGAGAAAGCAGGGGAUCUUCGGACCUUGCGCUAAUAGAUGAGCCUAAGUCGGAUUAGCUAGUUGGUGGGGUAAAGGCCUACCAAGGCGACGAUCUGUAGCGGGUCUGAGAGGAUGAUCCGCCACACUGGGACUGAGACACGGCCCAGACUCCUACGGGAGGCAGCAGUGGGGAAUAUUGGACAAUGGGCGCAAGCCUGAUCCAGCCAUGCCGCGUGUGUGAAGAAGGCCUUAUGGUUGUAAAGCACUUUAAGCGAGGAGGAGGCUACUUUAGUUAAUACCUAGAGAUAGUGGACGUUACUCGCAGAAUAAGCACCGGCUAACUCUGUGCCAGCAGCCGCGGUAAUACAGAGGGUGCAAGCGUUAAUCGGAUUUACUGGGCGUAAAGCGCGCGUAGGCGGCUAAUUAAGUCAAAUGUGAAAUCCCCGAGCUUAACUUGGGAAUUGCAUUCGAUACUGGUUAGCUAGAGUGUGGGAGAGGAUGGUAGAAUUCCAGGUGUAGCGGUGAAAUGCGUAGAGAUCUGGAGGAAUACCGAUGGCGAAGGCAGCCAUCUGGCCUAACACUGACGCUGAGGUGCGAAAGCAUGGGGAGCAAACAGGAUUAGAUACCCUGGUAGUCCAUGCCGUAAACGAUGUCUACUAGCCGUUGGGGCCUUUGAGGCUUUAGUGGCGCAGCUAACGCGAUAAGUAGACCGCCUGGGGAGUACGGUCGCAAGACUAAAACUCAAAUGAAUUGACGGGGGCCCGCACAAGCGGUGGAGCAUGUGGUUUAAUUCGAUGCAACGCGAAGAACCUUACCUGGCCUUGACAUAGUAAGAACUUUCCAGAGAUGGAUUGGUGCCUUCGGGAACUUACAUACAGGUGCUGCAUGGCUGUCGUCAGCUCGUGUCGUGAGAUGUUGGGUUAAGUCCCGCAACGAGCGCAACCCUUUUCCUUAUUUGCCAGCGAGUAAUGUCGGGAACUUUAAGGAUACUGCCAGUGACAAACUGGAGGAAGGCGGGGACGACGUCAAGUCAUCAUGGCCCUUACGGCCAGGGCUACACACGUGCUACAAUGGUCGGUACAAAGGGUUGCUACCUAGCGAUAGGAUGCUAAUCUCAAAAAGCCGAUCGUAGUCCGGAUUGGAGUCU